rnacentral:rRNA from 1 species
GACGAACGCUGGCGGCGUGCUUAACACAUGCAAGUCGAACGGAAAGGCCCUGCUUGCCGGGUACUCGAGUGGCGAACGGGUGAGUAACACGUGGGUGAUCUGCCCUGCACUUCGGGAUAAGCCUGGGAAACUGGGUCUAAUACCGGAUAGUAGCCAUUUUUAGUGUGAUGGUUGGAAAGUUUUUUCGGUGUAGGAUGAGCUCGCGGCCUAUCAGCUUGUUGGUGGGGUAAUGGCCUACCAAGGCGGCGACGGGUAGCCGGCCUGAGAGGGUGGACGGCCACAUUGGGACUGAGAUACGGCCCAGACUCCGACGGGAGGCAGCAGUGGGGAAUAUUGCACAAUGGGCGCAAGCCUGAUGCAGCGACGCCGCGGGGGGGAUGACGGCCUUCGGGUUGUAAACUCCUUUCGCUAGGGACGAAGCUUUUUGUGACGGUACCUAGAGAAGAAGCACCGGCUAACUACGUG